rnacentral:rRNA from 1 species
CGCAGGCUGAAACCCGCCUGCGUGAAGUUGGAAUCGCUAGUAAUCGCGGAUCAGCAUGCCGCGGUGAAUACGUUCCCGGGCCUUGUACACACCGCCCGUCACACCAUGAGAGUCGGGAACACCCGAAGUCCGUAGUCUAACAGCAAUGGGGGCGCGGCCGAAGGUGGGUUCGAUAAUUGGGGUGAAGUCGUAACAAGGUACC